AUUGAACGCUGGCGGCAUGCCUUACACAUGCAAGUCGAACGGCAGCACGGGUGCUUGCACCUGGUGGCGAUUGCCGAACGGGUGAGAAAUACAUCUGAACAUGUCCUGUAGUGGACGAUAGCCCGUCGAAAGCCGGAUUAAUACCGCAUACGAUCUACGGCUGAAAGCUGGGGACCGUCGGACCUCGCGCUAUAGGGUUGGCCGAUGGCUGAUUAGCUAGUUGGUGGGGUAAAGGCCUACCAAGGCGACGAUCAGUAGCUGGUCUGAGAGGACGACCAGCCACACUGGCACUGAGACACGGCCGAGACUCCUACGGGAGGCAGCAGUCGGGAAUCUUGGGCGAUGGGCGAAAGCCUGAUACAGCAAUGCCGCGUGUGUGCAGAAGGACUUCGGGUUGUAAAGCACUGUUGUCCGGAAAGAAAUAAUUGGCCCUUAUCCGGGCGGGUGAUGACGGUACCGGAAGAAUAAGCCCCGGCUAACUACGUG
rnacentral:rRNA from 1 species